UCGUAAGCUUAAUUUACACCAGCAACAUCAAAAUACAACCAUUCAGAUGAUAUCAUGCUUUCUCAUCAAGCUUUGGCUUUAAAAGAGGGGUUCUGAGAUCUAUUUCUGACGUUUCUUUGUUGGAAAUUGUUACUAAAAUUCAUGGGAGGCCAAAUGGAUAUCGUAAGGUUUUGAAGUGUUUGAACCUUGGAAUUGAUGAUUGUAGACAAGAUGUUGGUAAAACAGUCAUUGUUCAUGAUGUAUUUUACCACAAAUCAGUUGAUGGAAGCAAAUGCACCCCAAUCCAAAGAGGGUCUUGCAUUCUCUGAGUCUCUGCUGAGAAUUAUCAGGUCCUGUCUGGAAAAAUGAGGUCAACAGUCUAUCAGGGCAGAUGAGCGAGUUCGUCUGGAAGAACUGUGUGGGAAGGUUCAAGAUGGGAGGAGGAGUCUCAAACAAUUGUCGCUGCCAGAUUAAGAGAGGAUGACAGUCCAAAUGUGAUCAGGGAGAGGUUGCUGCAUGAGAGAAGGAAACCAUUUAUGCGGAGCUGUUCUUUGCACAGAAGCCUGAUCCAUCUUUUGAUAAUGAUGAAGACAUUAUGUUUGAAAAAAGUAAUUACAGAAAUAAACAAAAUCGCCUUGAAUGAUGAUUAGAGUGUUGAAUUUGAAGUGGUUGAUGAUGAUAACCAUGUCUUAAAUCACAAGUCUCCUAGAGGCAUGGAAAUAUAUUUUGAGAAACUUCUCCAGGUGCAAAACUCAGAGCAAGGUAUUGCAGAGGUCAAAAUUUUUGUCAGGAGAUUCAGAAAAAUCUUCACAACUUCACAACAAGGUAUCUUUUAGUCCAGGAGAUCCUUUGCUUGGGACCAGGUUUCAAGUUGUUAAUCCUUACAUCUAUGUAAAUGGGAUUGAAAUUCUGUUGACUGUUAAACAUGAAGUUGUCAGUAUAAGUUUGGAAAUAUAGAACAUAAUCUCUUGUUCCCUGCCAUAAAUAAUUUGGAAAAGAGGACUGCUUGCUCCCAAAUCCUGCAAAGUUUGAUCUCAAUUUUCAUGCUCUUUCUAGAGAGGAUAUGACCAGCAUAGAUGACCUGUCAGGUCAUUCUGAAUUCUAUUAUGAUUGAGAUGAUUUGACAUGCAUGUAUUUUCAUGGUGAAGAGAAACUUCAGAAUUAUUUGCUACCACGAGCUAUACUCGCCUCUAGGGUGGAUUGGGACUCUCAUAAAUGAUUGAUGCUGAUAGAUGACCUGUCAUGUCCUUCUGAACUCUAUUAUGAUUGAGAUGAUUUGACACACAUGCAUUUUCAUGGUGAAGAUAAACUUAAGAAUUAUUUGCUACCACGAGCUAUAGUCCCCUCUAGGGUGGAUGGGGACUCUUAUAAUUGGAUUGAUGCUGGAAGUCAAGGUAAAACAGAUGAGCUUAUAAGGAAGAAGAAGAGUAGAAGAAGUCAUUCAGCUCCUCCAUUUUACAAACGCAAGAAGUUCUUUGCCUCAAGUGAGUCUUCAAGAAAGGCAGCAGGAAAUAACAAUACUUAGACUGUUCCAUGAUGUGCUCAUGCCUGCUGAAUCUUGAGCUGUAUGGAGACUGCAUUGUUCUGCAGAAGCUAUCCGCUCGGAGCCUCCGUUGUCAUCCCGUCAGUGUGAUCAAUCUUCCACACAAAAAUGUGGUGAGGGUGUAUUCUCUAAUGAAAAGCCAAGUGUUAAAAUAGAACUUGUUAACAUCUGGAAUAGCAAAUUACAAGCUCAAGGGGAUUGCACAAGUUUACGCGGUGGGAGUCAAAAGAAGAUUCUGGGACAAAAUGGAGGGACUUCCGUCCAGAGAUUAUAGUCCAUCCAGAGAUUAUAGUUGAGCACCUUAGCUAUAUCUUGGAUGUGCGACUUCUUCUCUAUAUUCUUGGUUAAGAUGAUGGACUUUUACCAUCUCCACUAUGAGAUGCAGAACGGUUCUGGAACAAAGAAUCUUAAGAAUCUGGAUACUAUACUCAAUGUCACUUCUGGACUCUGGUGUCCUUGAUAUUGUUGGUGAUUCAUUGGUCCAUGAUACCAUUGUGUAGGACCUUUCGAGAUCUUAUACGCCAUGUUACACCUCUAGGGUGGAUUUUGGGUCGUGACACAUGUUCCUGCAGCUAGGAUAGUUGAUUGAAUUGAUUUUCUAAUCACUAAUUAAAGAAACUACAAGCAUCAAUCGCUGGAUAAGAUCGGUUCAAAAAAUAGUAAGCAAUAUCACUAGCCACCAUAAGAAAACCCUAUUGAGAUAUUGCAGUUUAUACUAACAUUUUUGGAGAAGAGUAACACUCAAUAUGCAUAGUUACUUCUGCAAAGAGCAGAUUUUUCGAUCAAUUCCAAAGCUACCUUGCUGCUCUAAAAAAGUAAAUAUCAUAUCUCUCCGUUCAUGUAAAAAAUAUGGUAUCUCUCCUUUCAUGUAAAUGAUGGUAUUAAAUGUAGCAUCGAUAUAUGCCAAUCCUCACCGUCCAGGAGCGGCUCAAGCAUAUUAGUGGCCUUUAAACUUGAAUUGUUAAUAACAUUUAUAUAAUUCAUUUCUUCUAGUUUUCAA